GUGUAACACCCCACAAUGUGCCCUCUAGUUCCUCUACAUGUGCCCCCAACUGCUUCCAUUGUGGCUCUGGAGCUUGUAUCAUCAACACGUGGGUGUGUGAUGGCUAUGCUGACUGUCCUGAUGGCAGCGAUGAGUUUGGAUGUCCCACAGCAUCUAAUGGAUCUGUGACGCUGGCGCCAGUACCCACACAGGCCCCUCCCCCUCCACCCUCGCCUGGCCGUUGCAGUUGGGGUCAGUUCCUGUGUCGCCGCCCUCCCCACUGCAUCCCCAACUGGCAGCGCUGUGACGGACAGCUCCACUGCCAGGAUGGCUCUGAUGAAGCCGACUGCCCCACACGUGGGCAUCUGUUCUGUAUAAACUCGACUCGCUGCUCUGAUGGUGAAGCCUGUGUGCCAGACAGUGAGAGGUGUGACGGCUUUCUGGACUGCUCCGACCACAGCGACGAGGACAAUUGCACCUCGGACUUCCUGGCCUAUAAGGUCCAGAACCUCCAGUGGACACCAGACUUCUUGGGUGCCAUUACUCUGACUUGGUCUCAUCCUAAGAACUUUCUCCUGGACUUGUGCUACUUCCUCAUCUAC